CCUCCUCCGAGCACGCGGCCCCGGGAACGCGGCUCGCCACGGGCCCGGCGCACGCAGAAGCCCCGCGGCCGCGCAGCCCGCGCGCUGCGCCCGAGCUCCGGCGGGCCGGGGGAGGGGCGCACUCGGCGCCCGGGCCGGGGGGGAGCGCGCCGCGCCGCCCACUCGGCGCCGCGGCCCCGGGCUGCGAGCCUCGGGGCUCCGACCGAAGUCCGCGGCCGGUGAACUCCGCCGCGCCCGCGGCGUGACACGGGGGCUGCGGGGGGGCGCGGCCCGGGGCGGCGGCCAGCGCGGGGGCGCCGGGCUCCCCCCCUGCAGCGGAGGGAGGGAGUGGAGCGGUCCGGCCGGGCUGCGCGCGGGAGAAGCGAGGGGGCAGUCCCGGCGCAGCCUCCAGCUGGCACGCCCGGCUCCGCGCGCCGGAUAUUUGCAGGGCUCAUUCCAGGUCCUGCCCUGCAGCAGCGCCAGCCUCUGCGGCAGGCGGAGUGUCUGCUCCAGGAACGCAGUUUAGAGCUUAACUUCGGGGAGCUCGUUUGGCUUCGCUGUUGUAAAGGGGCGGGGUCCUGCUGCCUCCCAAAACCGUCGCUACGGGGUUUCGCCCUUUGCAAAGCAAGCCCUUUAGCAAGGCCCUGGGGUUGGGGCGCUGCACAAUUCCCUCGGACUUUAGAAAGCCUCUGCCAUGCCUUGAUACGUGUAGGCCUACGGCCCCACUAGACAGAGAGUUCUAGAGGUGAGGAAUUGGCUGAGCAACGGCUAUGCAUCAGUUAUGCGUCAACUGUGUUGAACCCAAGAUUGAACAAAAAACAGGAGCCCUGCUCUGUUGGAGCUUACAGUCAGGGAGCCCGCCGCCAGCACGAUGAUAUGUGUUAAUAAUGAUGCAAGCAAACGUAAUAAUGAUGUAACAGUUAACGAGUCAACCAUUCAGAUACCGUUAAUGUGAGAAGUUCAUGUAUAAUGACGCAAAUAAAUGUAAACUGGGAGCUGUGAUAGAUGCCACAAGGGAAAAGAUAAGACCUCAACCUAGAAGGGAAGACAACACUAAAUUUGCGACACUCAGAGGUAACAUCUUCAAGUUGUUGCAGAAUAAAAGAUCUAGAAUCAAGUCUCUUGUGGCAAAAUCAUCAUCUAACAGAAACCGGGUGCCGUUCUGGAAAGUUUUCUCUAAUUACAAGCUGGUAUUCUAUCUUCCUGACUUGGCUUGUCAAGAUACUGCUGUCACAGCCACUUUAAAUGCAUUCUGAUAAUAACCACUUGAAUGGCUAUGGAGAAAAAGGCAUGAACUACCAAUAAUCGAUGCCAUCAUGUAUUGGGUGCAGAAGAGUACACAUCAUGAUGAAACUGUAAUGCCCAGGGUUCAACCAAAAAGCCAAUAGUAGUAAUGGUAUCAGUAACAGCAGCUGACUAAAUGAGCCCUGGCUCGGCACCAAACCCUGGACUGAGUUCAUCUUUGCAAGCAUUCUCUCAUUUAAUCUUUCAACUGUGACAGUUACCCAUCUGCUCUCAAAAAUAGUGCUGGGAAAAUAAAUGAAAAAAUAUUUUCA
rnacentral:lncRNA from 12 species